GAUGUACAUCCUUUACGAUGGACAGGAAUACUGUGAUUCAUCCCCCGCAAAAGACAGAGAUUAAUCACAGCUUCUGACAGGCUUGUGGUGCUGAUGCUUGACAGGGGUGGCAGCAGGGACUGGCUGUUUUAUGUGUGAACACUCAACGUGAGGCGUGGGUUUCAUAUCACUGAUGAAAUCAGCUGCCUUUGUCGCUUCCUGGUCUGACUGUGCCCUGCUGAGCGUCUCGUGAUCGUCAGGGAGUAGAAGCUGGCUGACAGAGCAGUCCAGGGUGGGCUUAACGACACAGUUCUAGGACCAUCGGAUUGGAUUUCCUUGUAGCAAAACCCCAGGUAGACAGAAGACUACA